UGUGGUUUUAUAUAUAAUAUUACUAAAUCUCAUUAAAAAUAUAUUUAACUGUUAAAAAAAUAUAAAGAUAAUUCCAUUGUGAAUAUAAAACAAACAAUACAAUAAUAGGUUCUUACUUAUAUAAAAUAUAUAUACAUAUAAAUUAUUAAUUUAUAAUUUUAAUAGAACCAUAUAUUUUUAUAGAAUUUUCUAAAAUAUUAUUAUCUUAUUAUUUUAUCGAUUUAUGUCAAAUUUUGAACCAACGUAAACUGGGACCGACG
rnacentral:lncRNA from 1 species